UGCACCGGCGGAGACGCCGUGCUGCGGGCUCCCGGUCGCCCCUUCCAAACCAAACCCCUGUGCACCCUUGGGAAGGCCGGUUGGCGGUUCGUCCGCUGUUGCCGGUCGGCCCCUUUUCUCACAAGCUCUUUGUCUUGUUCAGAAUGACUGCGGACAUCGUCUGUCUAAAAUCUAAUAACAACUUUCAACAACGGAUCUCUUGGCUCUCGCAUCGAUGAAGAACGCAGCGAAAUGCGAUAAGUAAUGUGAAUUGCAGAAUGCAGUGAAUCAUCGAAUCUUUGAACGCACCUUGCGCCCUUUGGUAUUCCGAUGGGCAUGCCUGUUUGAGUGUCUUGAAUUCAUCGCGACCCCGGGUUUUUCACCGAACCCGGGGCCCGCGGAAGUGGGGGCCUCUGCCGCGGCGACGCGGCUCCCCCGGAAUGCAUUGGUGGGGUCUUCCGGACAUCCCGGGCGUUGUAACCUCCUCGUCCGACCACGGGUGCCUCCGCGUCCCCCGCCCCGACCCACCCGCUCCGUGCGGCGGUCAAACAAACCUUUGAAAUCUGACCUCAAAUCAGGUAGGACUACCCGCUGAACUUAAGCAUAUCAAUAAGCGGAGGAAAAGAAACUAACAAGGAUUCCCCUAGUAACUGCGAGUGAAGCGGGAAGAGCUCAAAUUUGAAAUCUGGCGGUUCUGCCGUCCGAGUUGUAAUCUGGAGAAGCGUUUUCCGCGC
rnacentral:rRNA from 1 species